rnacentral:lncRNA from 1 species
GUUUUAACGUGGCGUGACCAGCAGAGGGCAGGAGCACAUAGAUUAUCAGUCAUCACAGCUAAAACCGCAGCUGAGGAAGAAGGUCAGCGUCUUGUACAGAAGGUGUGGAUGUUUGGUUCCUGGGUACCUGUGUGUGGUUUUCAGCAAACGAGCCCCUGCAUAAGCCUGGUCCAACCAGAAACUGACUUCACCUCCUCCUGGUUUCCCCUCCUUCAUUUCAUUCCCACCAUGUCCCUGUAUUCCUCAAAGCUCCAGUUGAGCGUAUCACUGUGUCUUCUCCUCCUCCUCCUCCUCCUCUGUUUGCUUCUGCGCCCUACGGACUCCUCCACCACAGGACCAAAUGGGGACAACCUCUUCUCAAAACCAACAGCUAAUUGCUCCAAUGGAUGUAAGUAUGUGGCAGGAGUCGCUCUUAAAGGUUCUCUGUGUAAGAAUGUGGAGCUUUUUUAAAAUCUGUUUUCAUGGGCAGUGAGUGAACAGCUUGUGACAUAACUAAAAAAAGAAAAAGAUGAGACCCGCUGUGGACACCCAACUUUGUUAAGACAAUAACUUGAAGAUUAGGCAACGUAGGAUUUUCAUUUUGAUGCCAUUGGUGAAUCUACUAACACUGGCAGCUGCAAGUAUUAUUCAAUGUUGUGACACUCAUACUCACAAUAUUGGCAUGAAUGUAGUCUAUAUGUCAUUUGUCGUGGAUGCCAGGUUGAUAAAGUGUACAGAAUAAGCAUUGUAUGUGUGGUUAGUAAGAUUCACUGGACUCAUCUCUGUGCUUGGCCUGCUGGACCUCAGUGCAGUGUUUGAUACUGUUGACUGUAAUAUUUGAUUACAGCGAUUAGAGCAUGCGGUAAGUAUUACAGGUACUGCGCUGCAGUGGUUUGAAUCAUAUCUAAUAGACUCCAACUUUAUCUAUCCAUGAAGGCAGAUAACACACACCAGUUAAACCACAGGAAUGUCUUAAAGACAUAAUCUCUAAUUUCCUGCUUCUAAAUUCAGAUAAAACUGAGUUUGUUGUACUUUGGAUUAAAAGUAAUAGAAAUAUGGGCUCCAACUAGUCCUGUCUCAGAGUGACUCUGAAAAACUAGUUCAUGCAUUUAUUACUUCUAGGCUGGACUACUGUGAUUCAUUAUUAUUAUUAGGAUGUCCUAAAAACUCCCCGAAAAGCCUUCAGUUGAUCCAAAAUCCUGUGGUGAGAUUACUGACAGGGACUAGAAAGAGAGAGCAUAUUUCUCCUGUAUUUUCUUCC